rnacentral:rRNA from 1 species
AGUGAACGCUGGCGGUAGGCCUAACACAUGCAAGUCGAACGACAGCACAGUAAGAGCUUGCUCUUACGGGUGGCGAGUGGCGGACGGGUGAGGAAUACAUCGGAAUCUACUUUUUCGUGGGGGAUAACGUAGGGAAACUUACGCUAAUACCGCAUACGACCUACGGGUGAAAGCAGGGGAUCUUCGGACCUUGCGCGAUUGAAUGAGCCGAUGUCGGAUUAGCUAGUUGGCGGGGUAAAGGCCCACCAAGGCGACGAUCCGUAGCUGGUCUGAGAGGAUGAUCAGCCACACUGGAACUGAGACACGGUCCAGACUCCUACGGGAGGCAGCAGUGGGGAAUAUUGGACAAUGGGCGCAAGCCUGAUCCAGCCAUACCGCGUGGGUGAAGAAGGCCUUCGGGUUGUAAAGCCCUUUUGUUGGGAAAGAAAAGCAGCAGGUUAAUACCCCGCUGUUCUGACGGUACCCAAAGAACAAGCACCGGCUAACUUCGUG